rnacentral:lncRNA from 1 species
AAAGAUAACGGAUUUUAUUUUUCCUUUUUUAUAUUAAUUUUCGAAUUUCAAAAUAUCUUUUCUUUUUAAGAUAACAGAUUUUAUUUUUCUAUUUAAUUACAAAAUAUUUUUUUUUACAUUAAUUUCUGCUCAAAUAUAACAUAUAAAUUUAAAAAAUAUUUAUAAAUUUUUGAAUAAAUAUAAUAUACAAAUAUUUAUUGAUUUAAAAUAAAUUAAAAUAAUUGUUACGUGCAGUUGCACGUACACUCAAAUAGUAUAUAUAUAUAUAUAUAUAUUCCCCCUACUCCCUACUCCCUACCCCUUAUUCUCUCCUCACUCUUUCUUUUCGCUCUCUCCCC